GGUUAGCCUUGGUGAGAACUCUCAAACGAAGAUACAAACAUUUACAAACUUCAAAAUUGUUUAUGUUUCAGUUGAUGGUAUUUAUGAUUUUUUGCGAUUUUUUGAUUUGCAAAUGAUGUCACACUACACCGCGAGAUGAAGUGGAUGUAUUCCUGGUCGACGGCUAUGUCACUGGCCUCCUCUACAUUGGCAGUAACUACUGUAUCAUUCCCCAUGGCGUGUUCCUACAUGGUCUUAUCGUCGCUAGCUACAGUACUGUUUAGAUGGCGUUUUGCUGGUGGAAGACUAUGGCGCUCGUCUCUUCCAUAUUGACGGUUUGACACAUUGCUGUACAAUGUGGAAAAUGCUUCUAACUCGGAGGAAGCCGCCAUGAAGUCAUAUGACGACGAAGGUUGCAAGACGGCUUUCCACCGGAUUUAUCUUGUGCUGCUUCAAUGAGACUGAGGUUUUGACACCGAAGGCAUGUAAGCCGCCUCACCCGAGGCAUUAUACUGAUACUGUAUGGACACCUUCCUUAACGAUAAACUAACAGAGGUUCUCGUUGGAAUGUUCAAGAGCUCUUCAGCUGAUGAUUGUAGUAGAACCCUUUACUUUUCACAAGCUUCAAACAAGAGUUUCCGAAACAGACACAUUCCAAAACAUCCGCAGUCAAAUAUUCCAGGUAAACCGUGAGAUGUCUCUGUGGCAAAAAUGACAAUGUGUCCGAUGUGUUGUGGAAAACAGUCCAAGGUGCCGACGUUGCCUGGAACCAAAACAUUUGUCACUAACUGUUCAAUAGAUCCAGGGUCAUGCCAAGUGAGAGACUGUAUGUUACCAGUUACAUCAGCGUUAGUCCGCUGUAACCUGUCCCACAUGAUUUACACACGACGGCGACAAGUGGAAAUAAUUGUUAUGAGGGGCGAUGUCGGAGUAUUAUGUCAGUAGUACCGUGCAGACAA